AGAAAUCAAAUCCACAAUUUGAAGUGCUGGAUACUCUUCUCCUUUCUCAAAUCACAAGCCCUAACUCUCAAUAAUUGUCCCAAAACUCUUCCACGUGAAAGCCCAAAUGUCCUUCAACAGCAUGUAAUCAAUGGUAGGAUUUUGUGUGGUUUUUUUUUUUUUGGAGGAAAAAGACAAGAAGAAUGAUGAAUAAAUUGAGAGGAAGAAAUUCGCUACCCACUAUGCAAAGGCAAGGAAAACGAAAUUGAAAGAGAGAGCAGGACACGGUUUUCUCUUUCUUUUACAAUGUAUAUAGGAGUGGGCUGCGUGGGUUUCUAGUGUUAGGUUAGUUUUAGAUUUUUUUUUUUAAACUAUUAUUAUUAUUAUAAGUUUUGUUUUAUUAUAUAUAUUGUCUUCUAUUUCCUGUACCAUCAUUUUUUUUUACGGGAUGUUUCAUUUUAUUCAUGAAAAGUCAAAGAAUUACUAUUACUUGGUGACAGUAAAUUAAUAAUGAUGAAAUGAUUUACUGUGAAGAAGUUGAUAAAUUCCUGGUUCAUGUGCUGAUUUUCCUAAGUUUAAAAUUAUGCUGAGUAAGAAAAGGUCGUCAGGCAUAUGCAUCUUGAAAUUAAAUGCUCACAUAUUGCUUCUUGAAGUAUAUACUUGAUGCCAAAUUGGAAUGUUGUAUUCCUUUUUUUUUGCUGAAUAUUAGAAUGGAUACUCAGAAUAUCCCUUUGAAUAAAAAAUGCAAAGUUGUUAGCCCAUGGGUGUUGUCCUUGGCUCCUUUUUAUGAAACAUUUGAACUAUACCAUUUUUUUAUGCUUGGGCCCCAUAAAUAAUAUAACUAGCAUGAUUAUUCUUUUCAAGUGAGGAAAGCUCUUACCUCUUUCUAGUGAAAAUUGUACAGUAAAUGAAGCAUCUUUUCAUCCUCUUUAAAAACCUUUCAGCUUGCAAAAAUCAGUUACUUGUUUUUAGUCUAGUAUCUUAAUAAGCUAUUUUUCUUUUAGACAGAAAAGAGUUGGAGCAUUUUCAAGCUCUUGCUAAAGCUCAACAUCCAAAGGUGCUGAUAACAAGAGGAUUUGUGUUGUCCAUUCAAUUAUUUGUUACAUAACUAUUCCCCCAUUUUCAUUACAUUUUAGCUUAAUUUCUUUGGCUCAUGUAUGUUUACUGCUCCAUGUUGUAAUUCAACUAAGACAUUGGUCUUAACUCUUAACUGAUAAAUCCAAGUACAGUUUUUAGUAAUUGCUUGUGCAGACUCUAGGCCAGGGUAUGCCCCUCCAACAUAUCAGGAUUCCAACCUUGAGAAGUAUUCAUGAUACGUAACAUCGCCAAUCUUGUACCUGUGAUGAAGGUGAAUAAGGUGCUUCAGUUGGGCUGGUCUGCUUCAAAUUUUUAUUUUGGGGUCAGAUGUUAAUUCUUCAGGUAUCAUCUUUGUAACACGUUCAAGUGUGUAGCUAUUUAUAAUAAACAAAUAAGUUUUCAUCUAUCAAACAAAAUAAUGCUUGACUCUGAGCCUGCUAGUCUUCAAGCUUACCUAUACUUGCCAUAAAUUUAUAAUGCAUGUUUUUGCAAUUUACUUGCUUAUUGAUGAAUGCUUUGAUUUAAGCUUGAAUAUGUUUGUAAAUUGAGGAUUCAUUUACUGAACUGCUACUUAUUGGUUGUUUAUUGUAUUUGUGUUAGAAACAUGGAUGUGCUUGAAAAUAAGAAAUUGAUGGAUAAUAGAUUAUACUGUGAUACGCAGAAGAAUUUCAUAUAGGAAUUCAUGAAUUAGCGAGGGAACCAAUCCGUCGCUAAAUUAGCGAGGGAUUUAGCGACGGAAUGGGAAUAAAAAAGUCAGGUAGUUAGCGACGGAAUGUGAUCCUUUAGCGACGGUUUGUACCGUCGCAAAUAGCGACGGAAUAAGAACUAAUACUGCAAAUGAUAUAGCGACGGAAUUAAAUAAAUUAGCGACGGAAUAUUUCCGUCGCUAUUAGUGACGGAUUGAAGAAUCCCUCGUUAAAUAUUUACCGACGCCACUUUGCACGGCGGAUGCAGUUCCGUCGCUAAAAAUUUACCGACAGAAUUUUCCUUAUUUAGCGACGGAUUUUGUCCCUCGCUAAUUUGCUUUUUUUUAGUAGUGUACAAAAUCACAAACUGAUAGUGGUGGAAGCUAACAGAAACAACACCCAACCAUUCGCCGUGGACAACAUUGUUACUGUUAUUGUUGUAUAAACAAUGCAUAUACAAUCAUCCUAGUAAAAUCUUAUGAAGGAUAAGAUGUAUCUUAAAUGAAUUGGGGUGAACAAGUUAAUUUUACAUUAUUAGUAAACUAAGUACGGAAAGCAAAGUUUUAUUUGAAAACUCAAGUUAUCCUUAUUUGAGAAAUCCAUUAUGCUAGUUUACAAAUGUAGAAGAAAACAAAUUGUACUGGAUAUCAGAGUGUUAUCCGUAGUGUUUUAACUGAACUCGCUUAACAUAUUUGUUAAGCUGGUUGUGAAUCUAGUCAACCUAGCUAAUCUUGUGAUUAGAGAAAGGUUUGUUCAAGAGUUUAAAUUUGUAGAAGUUACACAAGUAUGGAACACAACUCAAAAUCCCCUUAUUGUGUUUUGCCUACUUUAUUGCCAACUGAUCUUUAACUAAAUUCUUAUAUUGGUGCAAAUAUGAUUGCAAUUUUGUGUUGAAAAUCAUUACUUUUCAUAUCAGUACGUAAGAAAGCUUUCUCUGGGUAAAGCAACUCUGCACAUUAUAAAUCCAUGUUGCCGGGUAACCAGCAACAUUAUCAACAAAUGAGUAGUGUGAUAUUGAAAUGAAGUAGAAAAUGGCAUCACAAAAAAUUAUGACAUUAAAUAAUGAAUAAAUUAUAUAUGUGUGUGUAUAGAAAAUGCCAAUCCAAGACCAUGUAUGAUAUGAUGUAUGGGUAGCCGCCCAUUUUCCAGAAAGUCUAACAAGGCUCUAAAGCAUUAGUAUUAUCAGUUGCCAAUUCACAAUUCCACACACACAGAUUGAAACUAAAAGAGCAUCCCUUAACUUAACUUAAGUUGUUAAUGUUGGUGAAAAUAAGGACUAACGUAGUCACAGUAAAAUACAUGACUAACAUACAUAAUAGGGGUAUUUAAUUUGAUUUAACACUAUACUAACACUAACCAACAUGUAACAUAAUUACCAUAUAUUCUGUUCGGCUAGGCGUUUCAUUUCAGGGAAGGUUAGAUCAGCAUAACUAUUGGAGCUGAAUUGGGCAAACUGGUGCUCAAACGCCAUUUGAUACAUAAAGGCAGUGUUUCGCCUCAAUGCAAGGUUUUUCCUGAAGAUACCGAACCGGUAGAUUUUCUCUUCUUCGGAAUGCUUUCUCCAUUUUAGAACACUUGGAACAGUUGGAAUUGACACAUUCUAAAACAUGAUUGACGAAACCUUUCUCGAGGACAGGGAUGGAUAUGCAUAAAUUUGAGGCUCCUUUCAUCAACGGUUUCAUCAGCAAAAGCGUUGAGGCCAAGGCAGGGAUACAUCUAGUUGUCUAUAGCCUUCUGGUUUUAGCGAGUGAUAUAUGCAAGAGUUUCCUUGAAGAUAUUGAACCUGAAGUGUUUCUCUUCUUCUGAAGAGUAUAUUUUGUCAUAUUUCUUACACCAGCUUUCAAACAGUUCUCUGGCCUCUGUUUCAGAAUGGAGAGAAUUUUGCCCCAUGUGGAGUGCGUUUGAAGUUUGUGUCAUCUUUGUGAUAUUCAAGUCAUGCUAACACAUGAUAUUUAUAUAUAUAUAUAUAUAUAUAUAAACCAUGCCAU